rnacentral:rRNA from 1 species
GAUGAACGCUGGCGGCGUGCUUAACACAUGCAAGUCGAACGAUGAAGCCCAGCUUGCUGGGUGGAUUAGUGGCGAACGGGUGAGUAACACGUGAGUAACCUGCCCUUAACUCUGGGAUAAGCCUGGGAAACUGGGUCUAAUACCGGAUAGGAGCGUCCACCGCAUGGUGGGUGUUGGAAAGAUUUAUCGGUUUUGGAUGGACUCGCGGCCUAUCAGCUUGUUGGUGAGGUAAUGGCUCACCAAGGCAACGACGGGUAGCCGGCCUGAGAGGGUGACCGGCCACACUGGGACUGAGACACGGCCAGACUCCUACGGGAGGCAGCAGUGGGGAAUAUUGCACAAUGGGCGCAAGCCUGAUGCAGCGACGCCGCGUGAGGGAUGACGGCCUUCGGGUUGUAAACCUCUUUCAGUAGGGAAGAAGCGAAAGUGACGGUACCUGCAGAAGAAGCACCGGCUAACUACGUGCCAGCAGCCGCGGUAAUACGUAGGGUGCGAGCGUUAUCCGGAAUUAUUGGGCGUAAAGAGCUCGUAGGCGGUUUGUCGCGUCUGUCGUGAAAGUCCGGGGCUUAACCCCGGAUCUGCGGUGGGUACGGGCAGACUAGAGUGCAGUAGGGGAGACUGGAAUUCCUGGUGUAGCGGUGGAAUGCGCAGAUAUCAGGAGGAACACCGAUGGCGAAGGCAGGUCUCUGGGCUGUAACUGACGCUGAGGAGCGAAAGCAUGGGGAGCGAACAGGAUUAGAUACCCUGGUAGUCCAUGCCGUAAACGUUGGGCACUAGGUGUGGGGACCAUUCCACGGUUUCCGCGCCGCAGCUAACGCAUUAAGUGCCCCGCCUGGGGAGUACGGCCGCAAGGCUAAAACUCAAAGGAAUUGACGGGGGCCCGCACAAGCGGCGGAGCAUGCGGAUUAAUUCGAUGCAACGCGAAGAACCUUACCAAGGCUUGACAUGUUCUCGAUCGCCGUAGAGAUACGGUUUCCCCUUUGGGGCGGGUUCACAGGUGGUGCAUGGUUGUCGUCAGCUCGUGUCGUGAGAUGUUGGGUUAAGUCCCGCAACGAGCGCAACCCUCGUUCCAUGUUGCCAGCACGUAAUGGUGGGGACUCAUGGGAGACUGCCGGGGUCAACUCGGAGGAAGGUGAGGACGACGUCAAAUCAUCAUGCCCCUUAUGUCUUGGGCUUCACGCAUGCUACAAUGGCCGGUACAAUGGGUUGCGAUACUGUGAGGUGGAGCUAAUCCCAAAAAGCCGGUCUCAGUUCGGAUUGGGGUCUGCAACUCGACCCCAUGAAGUCGGAGUCGCUAGUAAUCGCAGAUCAGCAACGCUGCGGUGAAUACGUUCCCGGGCCU